AUGCAAGUCGAACGGUGAAGCCCAGCUUGCUGGGUGGAUCAGUGGCGAACGGGUGAGUAACUCGUGAGCAACCUGCCCCUGACUCUGGGAUAAGCGCUGGAAACGGCGUCUAAUACUGGAUACGAGACGUGAUCGCAUGGUCAACGUUUGGAAAGAUUUUUCGGUUGGGGAUGGGCUCGCGGCCUAUCAGCUUGUUGGUGAGGUAAUGGCUCACCAAGGCGUCGACGGGUAGCCGGCCUGAGAGGGUGACCGGCCACACUGGGACUGAGACACGGCCCAGACUCCUACGGGAGGCAGCAGUGGGGAAUAUUGCACAAUGGGCGCAAGCCUGAUGCAGCAACGCCGCGUGAGGGAUGACGGCCUUCGGGUUGUAAACCUCUUUUAGCAGGGAAGAAGCGAGAGUGACGGUACCUGCAGAAAAAGCACCGGCUAACUACGUGCCAGCAGCCGCGGUAAUACGUAGGGUGCAAGCGUUAUCCGGAAUUAUUGGGCGUAAAGAGCUCGUAGGCGGUUUGUCGCGUCUGCUGUGAAAUCUGGGGGCUCAACCCCCAGCCUGCAGUGGGUACGGGCAGACUAGAGUGCGGUAGGGGAGAUUGGAAUUCCUGGUGUAGCGGUGGAAUGCGCAGAUAUCAGGAGGAACACCGAUGGCGAAGGCAGAUCUCUGGGCCGUAACUGACGCUGAGGAGCGAAAGGGUGGGGAGCAAACAGGCUUAGAUACCCUGGUAGUCCACCCCGUAAACGUUGGGAACUAGUUGUGGGGUCCAUUCCACGGAUUCCGUGACGCAGCUAACGCAUUAAGUUCCCCGCCUGGGGAGUACGGCCGCAAGGCUAAAACUCAAAGGAAUUGACGGGGACCCGCACAAGCGGCGGAGCAUGCGGAUUAAUUCGAUGCAACGCGAAGAACCUUACCAAGGCUUGACAUAUACGAGAACGGGCCAGAAAUGGUCAACUCUUUGGACACUCGUAAACAGGUGGUGCAUGGUUGUCGUCAGCUCGUGUCGUGAGAUGUUGGGUUAAGUCCCGCAACGAGCGCAACCCUCGUUCUAUGUUGCCAGCACGUAAUGGUGGGAACUCAUGGGAUACUGCCGGGGUCAACUCGGAGGAAGGUGGGGAUGACGUCAAAUCAUCAUGCCCCUUAUGUCUUGGGCUUCACGCAUGCUACAAUGGCCGGUACAAUGGGCUGCAAUACCGUGAGGUGGAGCGAAUCCCAAAAAGCCGGUCCCAGUUCGGAUUGAGGUCUGCAACUCGACCUCAUGAAGUCGGAGUCGCUAGUAAUCGCAGAUCAGCAACGCUGCGGUGAAUACGUUCCCGGGUCUUGUACACACCGCCCGUCAAGUCAUGAAAGUCGGUAACACCUGAAGCCGGUGGCCUAACCCUUCGGGGAGGGAGCUUCGAAGG
rnacentral:rRNA from 1 species